CACGUUGACUCUAGGCCCUGCAACCUCUGUUAUGUAUCUCAUCCAUGCUUUUCUACCUCAACUCUGGUAGCUCGGCCACCACAAGCUGGACUACGGCGAUGUUCUAAGCCACGCAACUUCAGCUGCUCCGGCCACCGCACUCCCCCUUCGACGCGGCGGCUGCGUUCGUUUGUUGCUGCAAUCUUCUUCCAUGUGUUUCUGCUUCGGGCGACGCUGCUACAAAGGAACCUCGCUGGCGCCGGAAGAUGCAUCCGGCUGGUGUUGUAAGCCGGGUCGCUAUGAUGCAAGAUUCCGUUGUUGGAAGCCUUGCAGCAACGCCUGGUGCUGUGAGCAUGACGACGGCGCGGACUGCCGGAGAUGCUGAGAUGGUGGCGCAGCUUCUCCGGCAAUGUUACGACGGAUGCUGCGAAUGGCGACCUAGCUGCGAUGGCGGCGAGUCGGCUCCUGCAAACACGACGGCAGGCCGACUGCUCGGCGAUGCUACGACGGUGGUGCGGCUUCUCCGGCGAUGCUGCGAUGGCGACACUGCUGCGAUGGCGGCGAGUCGGCUCUCCGCUGCAGCAACGUCGGCUACUGCAGGCGCGACAACAGUCGGCUGCUCGGCUGCAGCAACGCCGGCUGCUGCGGGCACGACGACGGUGUUUGUUCGUGUUUGUCAGGAUAAAAAUUUGGCAUCCGCAUGUUGCAUAAAAAUUUGGGUUCUUGUCAUUCAUCGUGACUUGGUAGUCUACUUGCCUAGUUCGGGUAUCAAAAUCAACAUAUCACUAUAGCAUAAGUAUGAAAUAAAUGAGACUUUGGAAUCAUUCCACUGAUAUGAUAUUAAGGAGUUCUUGUGUAUGUUCUGGUAGUCUUCUAGCCACGUUGUGUUAACAUUUUAUCCAAAGCUCGUGAAGACUUGGUGGUGUACGUGGAAAGUUCAGGUUUAAGGAUUAAAACGUCGCCAUGGUGUAAUAAUGGAAAACAAUGAGCUUUAUGUGCUACUGAUAAGGUUUUACAGUUUUCUAGCUCAGUCGCCAUGGCAUAAUAAUGGAAAACAAUGAGCUUUCUACAAUGCAUCUGUAUUUUUAUUGUAUGUCCAAUACAGUCUCCCUUUGCGUCUGUACGGAAGGCAUUUUACAGUUGUUUGGUGUUUUUGCAAAGAAGUAUGAAUUGACACAUGGUUUCAAAGUUUCAGACUCAGCCAAGAUUCUUAUGUUGCUUGAUA